CUACAUCUAGAACACGGUCUGGGACUGCGUAGGAGCCCAACAAACACACUUAGCAAAUGUGUGAGCAUGGAGUUGGGGCUUUGUGUAGGUUUUAAGUGAUCACAUUAAAGAGUGAGAGAGCCAGCAUGCCAUGAAAAGAUAGUGGUAACCAGCAAAGGGGAGUGGUAUUUUAAUUGCAGGAUCAGCAGCAUCAGCAACACCUGGGCACCUGUUAGAAAUGCGGAAACCCAAGGCCCAGCCCAGACCCAUCAAACCAGAAUCUGCCUUGUGUCUGCUGUACCUCCCAGCACCUCAACCUCCAAUAUUCAGCCUAAGCUGCCGCCAUCACCACCACCACCUCAGCCUUCCAGUGUGCUCAGUGUCUUCCCGAUUCUGAUCUCAACGUCUAUCCUCAAGGCACCAUAGGACCAAAGACAAAUAAGAGACUGUGAGCAAAUGUGUAGACCCAAAAGUGAGAAAAUUCACAAAGCUUAUGGAAGUGUAUAAAGACUUCAUGGAGGAAAUAAAGUUUGAGUUUACUGGAAAGAGCCACCAUAGAACAAUAAAGAGUGAACAUAUGAGAAAGUAGCAUUAUAGAGGGUAUAGAAAGAAAUCUAAAGAGGUAUAUCCAGGAAACCACCAGUAGGUUUGUGUUGGGAUACAA
rnacentral:lncRNA from 1 species